UCCUAAACUGGAGGUGUCUGGGAAGUCUCU
rnacentral:piRNA from 1 species